UACGAAGGGUGCAAGCGUUACUCGGAAUUACUGGGCGUAAAGCGUGCGUAGGCGGUUUGUUAAGUCCGUUGUGAAAGCCCUGGGCUCAACCUGGGAAUUGCAGUGGAUACUGGCGAGCUAGAGUGCGGUAGAGGAUGGUGGAAUUCCCGGUGUAGCGGUGAAAUGCGUAGAGAUCGGGAGGAACACCCGUGGCGAAGGCGGCCAUCUGGACCAGCACUGACGCUGAGGCACGAAAGCGUGGGGAGCAAAGCAGGG
rnacentral:rRNA from 1 species